AUUGAGUUGGCAGAUUAAGUGCUUUAAAUUUAGAAUUUAAAAAUGUAAAUUUUUUACAUUCAAUA
rnacentral:tRNA from 1 species